AGCAGUAAUGCAGUUAACACAUUAAAUGUACCGCCUGGGGAGUACGGUCGCAAGAUUAAAACUCAAAGGAAUAGACGGGGACCCGCACAAGCGGUGGAGCAUGUGGUUUAAUUCGACAUACGCGAAGAACCUUACCUGGCCUUGACAUAGAAAGAAUUUAGCAGAGAUGUAAAAGUGCUAGUUUACUUGAGCUUUCAUACAGGUGCUGCACGGCUGUCGUCAGCUCGUGUCGUGAGAUGUUAGGUUAAGUCCUGCAACGAGCGCAACCCUCGUGUUUAGUUACUAACAGAUUAUGCUGAGGACUCUAGACAUACUGCCUGGGCAACCAGGAGGAAGGUGAGGACGACGUCAAGUCAUCAUGGCCCUUACGGCCAGGGCUACACACGUGCUACAAUGGGGUAUACAAAGAGCAGCGAUACCGCGAGGUGGAGCAAAUCUCAUAAAAUAUCUCCCAGUUCGGAUUACACUCUGCAACUCGAGUGUAUGAAGUUGGAAUCGCUAGUAAUCGUAGAUCAACAAUGCUACGGUGAAUACGUUCCCGGGUCUUGUACUCACCGCCCGUCACACCAUGGGAA
rnacentral:rRNA from 1 species